UACAGGGGGGGCAAGCGUUGUUCGGAAUUACUGGGCGUAAAGGGCUCGUAGGCGGCCAACUAAGUCAGACGUGAAAUCCCUCAGCUUAACUGGGGAACUGCGUCUGAUACUGGAUGGCUUGAGUUUGGGAGAGGGAUGCGGAAUUCCAGGUGUAGCGGUGAAAUGCGUAGAUAUCUGGAGGAACACCGGUGGCGAAGGCGGCAUCCUGGACCAACACUGACGCUGAGUGAGCGAAAGCCAGGGGAGCAAACGGG
rnacentral:rRNA from 1 species